AAAGGACAUUAUCUAACUGGUUUAUGCAUCUUAUUUCUUUCUUCUUCUCCAUUGUUUUAAAGGCCGAAAGAGAAGUCAAGAAACAUCAGAACGAUGAAAUUGCUUCUUGUGGCAUAAUUAAGUAAUACGGUCUUGCAUCCAAUGAAGAGCCAAAGAGACAUAGGGACGAUUCACACUAUGAAUCAAUUUCAAUCUCCUUUCUACAACUCAAAAUUCUAUCUUGAAGAUCGUUGUUGAAGAAUGAACAAAAGGUCUCAUGCUCACAAUCUUAUAGUUGUCUCAAGUGAUUUGUAAAAAAAUGGAGUUGGAGUUUGGCUUUAAAUCCGAACUUCAACGCCAUCUUUUUUUCAGAUUAUUUGAGACAACCAUAAGAACCUAAAAUGUGAGUUUCUUAUCUUUGAUUCGUUCUUUGCUCCACAAUCUUCAAGUGUGAGUUUUGGAUUAUAGAAAGGCGAUUUGAUUGAUUCAUGGUGAAUCAUCUUUAUAACUAGCCUACUUUUCUUGGAUUCAUGAUAGGAUGCAGAAUUAGAUAUGGUUAUAUAAAAUAGUAGAACUCCAAAAAUAAUACUACAAAGGAACAAUUCCACUACAAGUAUCUACUCUUGGUCAUUCAUUCAUACAUACAUACAUACAUGUGUAUAUUCUUUAGUUGUAUUGAAUUAUAAUAUAGCUAAGAUACUUUAUAUUACUUUCCGAUAGUCGCAUAUACAUGUGUAUAUUCUUUACACAUGAAAAUUAAAAAUACAAGUUACUAAAAUAUGAUUGUUGAUUCUCGUUAGCUAGCUAAUAAAGGUUAGAAUUUGAUGUUGAAUUAAAAGUAUAAUAAUGGUAAGGAGACCUAGUAUCUGAUUAGCAAUAGAUUUAAUUAGAAUAUGCAUGGUUAUGAGAGAAUUUCUUCUUUUCUUCUGCUUUGGUUUCUUGGCUCAAUCUCUUCAACUUUCCAGCUCUGUUUGCUCUAUGGACUCUUCUCAUGGGUGCCAUUGGGAUGGAAAUUCAAUAAUUCUUCCAAAUCGCUGCAACUAAGAACCUAAUAUCAUAAACACACAAAAUUAGCUACCUUUAACACUUAGAUCAUCAAGCAAUGUAUCAAAGGCGUGAAACAUAAUGGAAAAGAAAAGAAAAUAUAUAUACACACACACAAAUAUUCAAGUUAUCAACUCUCACAAUAAU
rnacentral:lncRNA from 1 species